rnacentral:lncRNA from 1 species
GUCCAUAGCUUUGUAAAAAAAAUUAAAGAACUCAUCCAGUGAUCACACUUAUCUUUAGCUGAAGACAAGACAGCACCAGUGCUUUAAUCCUGUCCCAUAAGCUUCUUGAAGUCAAAAUUAGAGCCUGAGCUGAUAGAGCAGAAAAUCUCAUUCUGGUCAUCCGGCAUUUUUGUAAGGUUCCACCCCACAACCAUCUGGCCUGGCCUGUUCUCCAAUUAAAGAGGCAAAGGUAGCAUUAUACACUUCCUUAUUUGUGCAGCAACAUCACUGAGGUAUAAAUUGGUGUGCAGCUUUAGUUGCUUAUGCUGCAGAAAAUGGUUCACUAGGCAGGGCUGAUGACAGUGGUUCUAUUGUAUAUUGGGUGGGAGGCUUAUUUCCCAAUGACUUUGGCCUGCAUUUAAAAUGCUCCCGUUUUGAGGCUGAACUGUUUGGGGCUGUUUAUUUGGAAGGCAAUUAUACAGUCAAGUUUGAGUAGGCCUAGAAAGGCAUAGAAGUCCUUUCUUUGGUCUGGGUGGAAUACCAAGAGGCACAUUUUAAGAGGCCAUGGUAUGCCUUAGGAGAAGUGUCAUAUGUUGACUUCAAAUAUGUUUUACUUUUCAAACUCUUUGAAAACACUGGCUUUAACUCCAAGCCCAUUCUUGGGAUCUGAUGCCAACUUUCUUCACAUUUUUUUAGUUUCCUCCAUGUUGAAUACCUCUAGUUCACCAUGGUGACCUUUUUGUUUGUUUUGUUUUGUUAUGCUUGGAGGUUGAACCCAGGGCUGUUCUACCUUCAUUUAUUUUUGGUCCCAGGGAUUGAACCCAGAGGUGCUUAACUACUGAACCACACAUCCCUAAGCCCAUUUUAUUUUUUAUUUUGAGACAGGAUCUUACUUAAGUUGCUAAAGCUUGUCUUGAACUUAUGAUCCUCCUGCCUCAGCCUCCCGAGUUGCUGGGAAUAGAGGUGGGUGCCACCAUUCCUGACUCAAACCUCCAUUCUUAAGCCUGGUAUGAUGUUGUACACCUAUAGUCCCAGCUACUCAGGAUCACUUGAGCCCUGGAGGUUAAAGGUCAGCCUAGGCAAAAUAGCAAGACACUAUUUUUUUUUUUUUUAAAGCCACCUUUCUUGGGAGGAGUCCCAUGGUCGUAUAGCUAGCUUUGUAUCUGGUGAUGAACCAAUCUUCAGAAACAGAAAGUCCCUUUUUACCAUUCUUCUCUUUAAAUCUAAAGGGGCUGGGGAUAUCACUUAGUG